AAUAAAGUCAGCUAAAAAAGCUAAUGGGUUCAUACCUCAUAAAUGAGAU
rnacentral:tRNA from 1 species